rnacentral:pre_miRNA from 1 species
AGAAAUAUAACCUAGGGAUCUCAUUGAAAUGCAGAUUCUGACUCCACAGGGCACAGGAAGGUGGAGCCUGAGAUUCUGCAUUUCUAACAAGCUCCCAGGUGAUAUCCAU